UUUCCGUAGGUGAACCUGCGGAAGGAUCAUUAACACAAUCAUCUGAUUGUUUUUCCAGUCCUACAUUCGUUGAAUACGUUAUUCACUUUAUUAUCAUUUUUUAAACCACAUUCACCAAUUGAAUAGAUUGAACUGAACUUGUAUUUAUCAAUUGAUUUUGAUAGAUAUAUUUUACACAAAACGAUAUUACAACUCUUAGCAAUGGAUAUCUUGGUUCUC
rnacentral:misc_RNA from 1 species